AACGCGAAGAACCUUACCUGGGUUUGACAUGCAUCUCUAAGUCGGUGAAAGCCGAUGAGCGUAGCAAUACGCAAUUUGCACAGGUGCUGCAUGGCUGUCGUCAGCUCGUGUCGUGAGAUGUUCGGUUAAGUCCGGCAACGAGCGCAACCCUCGUCCUUAGUUGCCAGCGGGUAAUGCCGGGGACUCUAGGGAGACAAACCUCUUUUUAGAGGUGGGAAGGUGGGGACGACGUCAAGUCAGUAUGGCCCUUACACCCAGGGCUGCACACGUGCUACAAUGCCCGAUACAAAUGGACGCAAAACCGCGAGGUGGAGCAAAUCCUGAAAAUCGGGCCCAGUUCAGAUUGGAGUCUGCAACUCGACUCCAUGAAGCCGGAAUCGCUAGUAAAGGUGUAUCAGCAACGGCACCUUGAAUACGUUCCCGGGCCUUGUA
rnacentral:rRNA from 1 species